UACGUAGGGUGCAAGCGUUAAUCGGAAUUACUGGGCGUAAAGCGUGCGCAGGCGGCUUUGCAAGACAGAUGUGAAAUCCCCGGGCUCAACCUGGGAACUGCAUUUGUGACUGCAUGGCUAGAGUACGGUAGAGGGGGGGAUGGAAUUCCGCGUGUAGCAGUGAAAUGCGUAGAUAUGCGGAGGAACACCGAUGGCGAAGGCAAUCCCUGGACCUGUACUGACGCUCAUGCACGAAAGGCGUGGGAGCAAACAGG
rnacentral:rRNA from 1 species